UGAGGAAUAUUGGUCAAUGGUCGCUAGACUGAACCAGCCAAGUAGCGUGCGGGAUGAAGGCCCUCCGGGUCGUAAACCGCUUUUAGACGGGGGUAAAAGGGCGUACGUGUACGCCGUAUUGCAUGUACCGUCAGAAAAAGGACCGGCUAAUUCCGUGCCAGCAGCCGCGGUAAUACGGAAGGUCCGGGCGUUAUCCGGAUUUAUUGGGUUUAAAGGGAGCGUAGGCGGACUUUCAAGUCAGUGGUAAAAUCGUGUGGCUCAACCAUACCUCGCCAUUGAAACUGGAAGUCUGGAGUGCACACAGGGUGCCGGAAUUCAUGGUGUAGCGGUGAAAUGCUUAGAUAUCAUGAAGAACUCCGAUCGCGAAGGCAAGUGCCCGGGGUGCAACUGACGCUGAGGCUCGAAGGUGCGGGUAUCGAACAGGAUUAGAUACC
rnacentral:rRNA from 1 species